rnacentral:rRNA from 1 species
AUACCAAUACAGGCCCAAUGGGACUGUGUUUGGAAUGAGUGUAAUUUAAAAACCUUAUCAAGGAACGAUUGGAGGGCAAGUCUGGUGCCAGCAGCCGCGGUAAUUCCAGCUCCAAUAGUGUAUACUAAAGUUGCUGCAGUUAAAAAGCUCGUAGUUGGAAUUCGGUUAAUGAAUUGAUAGUCUAUAUUUUAUAUAUACGCACUGUUAAUUCAUUUCCUUUUUUUUAGGUUUAACCACUUUUAGUGAUUUUCCUAAAUAUUUUACUUUGAGAAAAUUAGAGUGUUCAAAGCAGGCGUAACUAAGCCUUUGAAUAUAUUAGCAUGGGAUAAUGAAAUAAGACUUUUUGCCUUAUUCUCGUUGGUUCAUAGGGCUAAAGUAAUGAUUAAUAGGGAUAGUUGGGGUCAUUAGUAUUUAAUUGUCAGAGGUGAAAUUCUAAGAUUUAUUAAAGACUAACUACUGCGAAAGCAUUUGACAAGGAUGUUUUCAUUAAUCAAGAACGAAAGUUGGGGGAUCGAAGAUGAUCAGAUACCGUCGUAGUCUCAACCAUAAACUAUGCCGACCAAGGAUUCGGGGGUGUUAAAUGAAUGACUCUCCGGGCACUUAUAGAGAAAUCAUAAGUAUUUGGGUUCCGGGGGGAGUAUGGUCGCAAGGCUGAAACUUAAAGGAAUUGACGGAAGGGCACCACCAGGAGUGGAACUUGCGGUUUAAUUUGACCCAACACGGGGAAACUUACCAGGUCCAGACACAGUAAGGAUUGACAGAUUGAGAGCUCUUUCUUGAUUUUGUGGGUGGUGGUGCAUGGCCGUUUCUAGUUGGUGGAGUGAUUUGUCUGGUUAAUUCCGUUAACGAACGAGACCUUAACCUAUUAAAUAGUAAUACGAACUUGUACUCUUUUGUACAAUUUGUUUGUAAAUGACUUCUUAGAGGGACUCUUCACAUACAGAGUGAAUGGAAGUUUGAGGCAAAAACAGGUCUGUGAUGCCCUUAGAUGUUCUGGGCUACACGCGUGUUACACUGAUAUACUCAACAAGUUAAAACUUUCCUUACCUGGUGAGGUUGGGUAAUCUUCUAAAUGUAUAUCGUGAUGGGGAUUGAUCAUUGUAAUUAUUGAUCAUGAACGAGGAAUUCCUAGUAAGUGCAAGUCAUAAACUUGCGCUGAUUACGUCCCUGCCCUUUGUACACACCGCCGUCGCUUCUACCGAUGAAUGAUCCGAUGAGGACUUAGGAUGGUCUUGGAUCUUGGUUAUAAAAUGCCAAUCCAUUGUUUAUCAGAAUUCGUUCAAAUCUUAUCAUUUAGAGGAAGGAGAAGUCGUAACAAGGU